GAACGGAGGGAGGCACGUGGCGAGGGCUGCGGCCGGCUCGGUGGCCCUGGCCGGUCGGGGGCGGGCAGACGGUCCGGGUCAUGCCGGCAUCGCGCCCACAGCCCGGCCGUGCGGGCCCUCGGGGCGACCCGGUCGGUGCUCGCGAUCGGGAGCGGCCCCCGCUUUCAGGCUACUUCAUCCACAUGGCAGCGAGGGGGGGAGCGGGGGCACGGUCCCCCGGCGCCUCCCUACCACGCGGCGGGUAAUUAAAACAAACAAACAAACAAACAAACGAAGGAACAGAGAAGAGGCACGGGCCGAGCAGCGCUCAGCCGGCGGGGCUUCGCGGGGGCGGGGCGCGGGGCCGGCCCGGCGCAGAGGAAGGCGGCUGGCCGUCGCCCGGCCCCGCUCCGCCUCCCCCCCCCGGGCAAACAUUAACGAAGGGUAAACGCGGCUGUGUGCGAGGGGCUGUAAAUCAAUCCCGCCGCAAGGACGCGGCCGGCAAACAAGCGCGGCUCCCAGCGCCGGGGGCGGGCUGGGGGCCGCCCUCCCGCCUCACCGGGCCGGGGCACCUUGCGGAGGGGCCGCUGCCACCGCCCACGGUGCGCGGAGCCGGGCCCGGGCGGCCCGCGGGGCGGGGAGGGGCAGGCCCUUGCCCCCGGGCCCGCGCCGUGCUCGGGAUGGCGGCGGUGAAGCCCCCGGUCGAUGCCCCUCCGCCUCCCUGAUGCAAAUGCUUUUACGCAGAGUCCCCGCCGGUUAACCUGGCGAGAAUUCCUCGCCGGCUUCCCAAGCUUCCAGCUUAUCCAGGAUUCACGUUGGGAGGCAGGGAGCGAGAAAAAGAGGAGGGGAGAAAAAGACAUGCAUCUAUGGAAAACAGCAGCGGGGCGCGGGCAGGCGCCGAGCAGCUGCGGAGGAACAGGCCGGGCCACCCCCCACUCCCCGAGCCCCCACCGGCGAUCGCGGCUCCCCCGCGCCCCGGGGCGGGCUGGGGCAGCGGUGCGCGGUCGGGGAGGCAUCGGCAGCCCGCACACCCCCAGCCCCUUCCCGGAACCUUCCGCUGCCGCGUUUCUCCCUCGGGCGCUCCCCGCCGGACCGGCGCACACGGCUCCAAGCAGGUCUUUUUUUCCAAGCAGGUCAUUUUUCCCUGAACGAGUGGGGUUUCGCCUUCCUUAUCCCCUCCUGUCAGUGUGUCCCCGUGUCCCCCCCCCCCCCCCAAGAAUAUAACCCGAAAUAAAUUCCCCCUGCAGUCCCAGCAGGCUGCAAAGGGCUGUACAUUUUC